rnacentral:rRNA from 1 species
CCUGCACCUGCCGGCGACCGGCGCACGGGUGAGUAACACGUAUGGAACCUGCCCGCCACAGGGGGAUAACCCGGGGAAACCCGGCCUAAUACCCCAUGCCGCCCGGACCGGGCAUCCGGUCCGGGCGAAAGGAGGAAUCCGGUGGCGGCUGGGCAUGCGGCGCAUUAGCUUGACGGCGGGGUAACGGCCCACCGUGGCGACGAUGCGUAGGGGUUCUGAGAGGAAGGUCCCCCACACUGGUACUGAGACACGGACCAGACUCCUACGGGAGGCAGCAG